GACGAACGCUGGCGGCGUGCCUAAUACAUGCAAGUAGGACGCAGUUUCGAGCGGGUGAGUAACGCGUAGGUAACUGCCCAUUAGAGGGGGAUAACUCAUGGGGACGAUAGCUAAUACCGCAUACUAGUAGAUGGAUCUGCGUUGUAUUAGCUAGUAGGUAGGGUAAUUGCCUACCUAGGCAACGAUACAUAGCCGACCUGAGAAGGUGAUCGGCAACCUGGGAAUUGGGAAAGGGCCCAGCUCCUGAGGGGGGGAGGAGUAGGGGAAUUUUGGAAAAUGGGGGAAACCCUAACGGAGAACGGCGCGGUAGUGAAGGAAGUUUUCGGGUUGGAAAACUCCGUUGUUAAGGGAACGGUACUUAACCAGAAAGGGACGGCUAACUACGUGCCAGCAGCCGCGGUAAUUC
rnacentral:rRNA from 1 species